rnacentral:rRNA from 1 species
UAGGGAAUCUUCCGCAAUGGACGAAAGUCUGACGGAGCAACGCCGCGUGAGUGAAGAAGGAUUUCGGUUCGUAAAACUCUGUUGUUAGGGAAGAAAAAAUGUAUAGUAACUAUAUACAAAAGAGACGGUACCUAACCAGAAAGCCACGGCUAACUACGUGCCAGCAGCCGCGGUAAUACGUAGGUGGCAAGCGUUGUCCGGAAUUAUUGGGCGUAAAGCGCGCGCAGGUGGUUUAGAAAGUCUGAUGUGAAAGCCCACGGCUCAACCGUGGAGGGGCAUUGGAAACUAAGAAACUUGAGUGCAGGAGAGAAAAGUGGAAUUCCUAGUGUAGCGGUGAAAUGCGUAGAGAUUAGGAGGAACACCGGUGGCGAAAGCGGCUUUUUGGCCUGCAACUGACACUGAGGCGCGAAAGAGUGGGGAGCAAACAGG